rnacentral:rRNA from 1 species
ACGGGAGGCAGCAGUGGGGAAUAUUGCACAAUGGGGGAAACCCUGAUGCAGCGAUGCCGCGUGGAGGAAGAAGGUUUUCGGAUUGUAAACUCCUGUCUUAAGGGACGAUAAUGACGGUACCUUAGGAGGAAGCUCCGGCUAACUACGUGCCAGCAGCCGCGGUAAUACGUAGGUGGCAAGCGUUAUCCGGAUUUACUGGGUGUAAAGGGCGCGUAGGCGGGGAUGCAAGUCAGAUGUGAAAUCCAUGGGCUCAACCCAUGAACUGCAUUUGAAACUGUAUCUCUUGAGUGCUGGAGAGGUAGAUGGAAUUCCUAGUGUAGCGGUGAAAUGCGUAGAUAUUAGGAAGAACACCAGUGGCGAAGGCGAUCUACUGGACAGUAACUGACGCUGAGGCGCGAAAGCGUGGGGAGCAAACAGGAUUAGAUACCCUGGUA